UCAGGCGAAGAGAGUGGAGGGAGGGAGAGGAAAGCAGAAAAUGAGAGUGUGGCAAGACAGCGGCUCAUAGUGACAGCAGGGGCAGAGGGAGGCAGAGGGAGCAAGUGAGCUGGGGAAUAGAAAACUGACAGUGGGGGGAAAAUGCAGGAAAGACACUGAAGCUGAACUGGUGGAGGAGAAAAAGGAAAAUACAAACAAGGCUAGAUAGAAUCAUUAGGAAGGAACAGUAAGGAAGCAGAGAGAAAGUGUGGAAAUUGAGUGAUUUGUCUAAAUGUGCUUGUAAUGUGUGACUGGCAGUGCGUGGAGUGUGUUUACGUGCACGGGUCUAAUUUUGCUACCAGUACUGCCUGGAAAACGUGCUUGGUGGAUUAUGCGAGAUCAAGAAGAGGACGAUUGUUUGUGUGUGUGUGUGUGUGUGUGUCAGAGAGUGUCUGUUUAUUGGUGAAGAAAAGGGCUAGGUGCAGCUUGUUCGUGUGUGUGCAUGUUUAGAUAUCGUGCAGCUCGAGAGUUGCUUGAGGAAAGGAAAAAGAUAGUGCAGAGAGUUGAAGCACUUGAGGAUGCCAGGGCAUUCAGGGACAAGCACAGCUCCCAGAUAUUGCACUCUCAAUGUAACUGCCGUCUGAGUACUUCAGACCCAACGAGGGAAGGCAAACCAAUAAACAGAGUUUGUUGAAGGCAGACAAGGCGAAACCAUGGGAGCACGUGUCUUCUUGAGCCAUCAACUGAACUAUUUGUAGAACCAAAGCAUCUCUGUUGCUGCUGACUACCUCAAAGGGUAAAGCUACGAAAACUGUAGAGUUUCUUUGGAGGUCACGUGAAGGAUUGGUGAGGGUCCAUUGUAGUGUCCAGUGAAACCCUUGAUGUCUUCAGAACCCAGCCAUGGGAGAGUGGACCAUUUUAGAGCGCCUCCUGGAGGCCGCUGUGCAGCAGCACUCUACAAUGAUUGGAAGGAUUCUACUGACGGUUGUGGUGAUAUUCCGUAUCCUGAUUGUGGCCAUCGUAGGUGAAACAGUGUAUGAGGACGAGCAGACCAUGUUUAUCUGCAACACUCUCCAACCUGGGUGCAAUCAGGCCUGCUACGACAAGGCCUUCCCCAUCUCCCACAUCCGAUACUGGGUCUUCCAGAUCAUCCUCGUUUGCACACCCAGCCUGUGCUUCAUCACCUAUUCAGUACACCAGUCAGACAAACAGCGUGACCGUCGCUACUCCUUCCUCUACCCAAUUAUGGAGAAGGACUACAGUCGUGAGGGUACCCAAAAAUUACGCAACAUUAAUGGCAUUCUGGUGCAGCAUUCUGACAGUGGUGGCGGAAAAGACGAACCUGACUGCUUAGAGGUAAAGGAGAUCCCAAAUGCUCCGAGAGGCCUCCUGCAUAGCAAGAGCUCCAAGGUACGACGACAAGAGGGCAUCUCUCGCUUUUACAUAAUCCAGGUCGUGUUCCGCAAUGCACUGGAGAUAGGCUUCUUGGUGGGGCAGUAUUUUCUAUAUGGCUUUAGUGUCCCUGGCAUCUUUGAGUGUGACCGCUACCCCUGCCUGAAGGAGGUGGAGUGCUAUGUAUCACGGCCCACUGAGAAGACGGUCUUCCUAGUCUUCAUGUUUGCAGUGAGUGGUAUCUGUGUCGUGCUCAACCUUGCCGAGCUCAACCACCUCGGCUGGAGGAAAAUCAAGGCUGCCAUUCGAGGCGUGCAAGCCCGCAGGAAAUCCAUCUGUGAGAUCCGCAAAAAGGACGUGGCCCACCUGUCACAACCGCCAAACCUGGGCAGGACCCAGUCCAGCGAGUCUGCUUAUGUCUGAUCUCCAUUCACCUAAAUAUGGCAUCACAAAGAGUGGAGCAGAGAGUGGAAUGUUAAAAUAAUAAGGCGCUUAUGGUACUUGUGCACAUGUUUAUAAUGUCAAAGGGGGAGGGGCUCCACAUAGCCACACCUCUUUCCCACAAGCCACUCCCUCCCUCUUUAUGGCAUAUGACAAUGUUUGAGGACGUUUGCACAAUGUUAGGCUUCUAGAAGAUAAGGCAUAGAAGAGGAAUUUUUGGAAAGUCUCAAACACAAGGAUCAGUGGAAGGGUGAAGAGCAUAAGGUGCUGUUCAGAGAUUAUGAAGAUUGCUUCCCCAAGUGAGAACUUCUUCAUGUGCUUGCAUUAAUCCACUCUUCUCCUCAGUCUAUUUUUAUAAAAACCUAUAUUAGAGUUUGAAUACUAGACAAAAAAGAACAAUGUCAGAUUUUGUUUCUUUUUUUUAUUUAUUCCCGCUUGUGAAUUAUGUUUAUGUGUGCUACUCUUUUUUACAGUGCUGUAAUAUGAGGGAUACCGCAGGGGGAAUUUAAAGACCAGAAUUAGGAUUUGAAGUAAAAAAUGUAGCUUUACUUGCCAAAGUUUUGUUAUAUGCAACUUCAUAACUAAUUGGGUUUCGGUGAAUGGGUUGAUCAGUUACUGUAAAGCAUGUGUAACUGAUAUGGAAAGCAUGUUUUUGUUCUUUUAUUUCACUCUUUUUUUAUGAGACAGAAAAGCAGGUACAAGUAAAUGGCAUGAUUAGAUUAGAAAACUGUGUAAAAUGGUAAAAAUUUCAGGCAUUCAUGGGCCAAAACUAAAUUCUAAGACUAUAGCAGGUAUUAUUACGCAGACUACAAUCUUGUUACAAACAUAUGCAACACUUGAUUUUAAGCACAAACUUUUGACAUGAGGGAAGUAUAUUUAUGAUUAUACACAUCCUGUAGUCACUGCCAGACAAUUUUGUAGAAAAUAACUGUUUCACCUACAAAAAGUGUUUUUUGGAGACAUAAUUGAUGUGUAAGUAAGCAACCUGCAUGUUUAAUUGACAAUGUGUUGUUAAUCUACUGCCACUGGUCAUCAUCUUAAAUGUGAGAUGAAGACAUUAAAUGCUGAUAUUUCAGAAAGUCAUAAUGGUAAUUAAACACCCAGAAAACAUAGUGGGGCUGUGCACAUGGAAAAAAAAAUGUCUCAGGUGACAGAUUUUUUCAAAUGACACGUUCUCAGUGUUUCUACAAUUAUUAUCCAGCGUACAGUAUCUUUGCAAAAGCCAGUAGAAAUUAUGCCCAUGUUUUAUAGAGUUGUAAAACAAAAACUACUGAUAAAUUGUACAUUAUUUGAUAACAGUGGAUCUUUUACAAACAUGUUUUUCAGGAUAGUGAAAAUAAUCAGAUUAUUGCUCAAACAUCAGUCUAAUGAGUCUUUCCUGACAGUGCCAAAAUAUUUUUUACACAGAUAUGCAUAUUAAGUAAUGAAUAGAACAGAGUCAAGUUCAUUCCCCGUUAGCUCAGGAAAAAGAAUCAUUCUAAUCUCACAUUAAUCCCUUUUGAAUGAUCAUCACAUGUCCCAGAAUGCUCUCUGAGUGUCUGCCAGAAAUCAAGGCACCCACAGUCACCAGAGCCCCUGUCCCAACCACACUUUUCCAUUGCCAGCUCAGGUUUUCCUCUAAAGCUCUGGCUCAUGAUCAAUCCCUCAUUUCAGCAAGGACAGUUAAAUGAGAUGAUGCCGUUUUAAUCUGUUGUCCUUUGCUUAAUAACCACUGCUGUAUUUCCAAACUGCCCAGAAGAAGCCAUCCUUAAGUUUUAAUUCACAUAUAGGGUUCACUUUUCCUUUCUCAUUAUAAAACGGAAUUAUAAAACUGGUCUGGGAUGGAACUGUAACCAAUUACAACUCCACGUGUGCUGCCAGGGGUGUUUGACACCCGCCGCACAAGCCGUACUAAUCUCUCAGGAAUAAGAAGAGUCGCCACUCCUAAUCACUCCCAGCUACUUACACGGCCGUAUAAACACUAGAUUAGCACUUGGCAAAGGCAAAAGGGCAGACGAGUCAUCCAUCCCUUGUACCUGCACCAUCACAGAACAAAUCACAUCAACACAUGCCGCUGUUACUCAGGAUUUGUGCAACGGCACCAAUCCUAAAAACCAACGUUUAUACACAGAGAGUAGCAUGAGAAACCAGGAACCGUUCUGGAGAACUGCAGAAACUUUACAGUCCAUCACAAUU